GGCCCCAUCGUCUAGAGGCCUAGGACGCUGCCCUCUCAAGGCAAAAACACGGAUUCGAAUUCCGUUGGGGCCACCA
rnacentral:tRNA from 1 species